rnacentral:lncRNA from 1 species
CCAAGAGAAGUCCUUUGUCCAUCUCCACAGAUCUCUCACUGAGAAGUUUGAUGUUGGCUUCUGAUUUGCUCCAAGAGAAGAUUGCAUAGUCCCUCCAAGAAGGGGAUGUGGACAAGAACCCCUGACCAAAGUAGCCUUCAUCCAGUAGCUGUUUGAAGCAGAAACAGGCACCCACAGCUAAGCAACCGAACCAUACUACUGGAAUCCAGUUGUGGAGAGGGAGGAGGGAUGCGCAAAGGAGCCAAGACGGGGCUGGAGAAAUGCACUGAAACAGUGGACCUGACCUACUGAUAGCAUGGAGACCUUAGUCAUAAAGCUGGGGAAACAACAUUGGACGGAACCAAGCCUUCUGAAUGUGGGUGCCAGCUAGGAGGCCAAGACAGUUUAUGGGACCUCUAACAGUAGAGCCAGUCUUUAACCCUAGAGCACAAUGGACUUUGGGAGCCCAUUCCCUAUGGAGAGAUACUGUUGCAGCCCAGAUACAGCAAGGAGGGCCUAGGCUCUCCCCCAAAUGAUAUGACAGACUUUGAAGGUUCCUCGUGGAGGGCUUCACUAUCUCUGGGGAGG